rnacentral:rRNA from 1 species
GAUGAACGCUGGCGGCGUGCCUAAUACAUGCAAGUCGAACGCGAUAGUUUACUAUCGAGUGGCGAACGGGUGAGUAAUACAUAAGUAACCUGCCCUAGACAGGGGGAUAACUAUUGGAAACGAUAGCUAACACCGCAUAGGUAUGGAUAACACAUGUUGUCGAUAUGAAAAGAGCUCCGGCUCUGGUCAAGGAUGGACUUAUGGCGCAUUAGCUAGUUGGUAAGGUAACGGCUUACCAAGGCGACGAUGCGUAGCCGACCUGAGAGGGUGACCGGCCACACUGGGACUGAGACACGGCCCAGACUCCUACGGGAGGCAGCAGUAGGGAAUUUUCGGCAAUGGACGAAAGUCUGACCGAGCAACGCCGCGUGAAGGAAGAAGGUUUUCGGAUUGUAAACUUCUGUUAUAAAGGAAGAACGGUAUAUGUAGGGAAUGACAUAUAAGUGACGGUACUUUAUGAGAAAGCCACGGCUAACUACGUGCCAGCCGCCGCCGUAACAC